UACGAAGGGUGCAAGCGUUGUUCGGAAUGAUUGGGCGUAAAGGGUUCGUAGGCGGGUUUUUAAGUUGGAUGUGAAAGGUUCGGGCUCAACCCGAGACGUGCAUUCAAGACUGGAGAUCUUGAGGAGCGGAGGGGGUCAGGGAAUUGCUGGUGUAGGAGUGACAUCCGUAGAGAUCAGCAGGAACACCAGACGCGAAGGCGCUGGCCUGGCCGUAUCCUGACGCUGAGGAACGAAAGCGUGGGGAGCAAACAGG
rnacentral:rRNA from 1 species